UCGGAAUUACUGGGCGUAAAGGGCUCGUAGGCGGCCAACUAAGGCAGACGUGAAAUCCCUCGGCUUAACCGGGGAACUGCGUCUGAUACUGGAUGGCUUGAGUUUGGGAGAGGGAUGCGGAAUUCCAGGUGUAGCGGUGAAAUGCGUAGAUAUCUGGAGGAACACCGGUGGCGAAGGCGGCAUCCUGGACCAACACUGACGCUGAGUGAGCGAAAGCCAGGGGAGCAAACGGG
rnacentral:rRNA from 1 species